rnacentral:rRNA from 1 species
AACGAACGCUGGCGGCAGGCCUAACACAUGCAAGUCGAACGCCCGUAGCAAUACGGGAGUGGCAGACGGGUGAGUAACGCGUGGGAACGUGCCCUUCGGUUCGGAAUAACUCAGGGAAACUUGAGCUAAUACCGGAUACGUCCGUAAGGAGAAAGAUUUAUCGCCGAAGGAUCGGCCCGCGUCGGAUUAGCUAGUUGGUGAGGUAAUGGCUCACCAAGGCGACGAUCCGUAGCUGGUCGAGAGGAUGAUCAGCCACACUGGGACUGAGACACGGCCCAGACUCCUACGGGAGGCAGCAGUGGGGAAUAUUGGACAAUGGGCGAAAGCCUGAUCCAGCCAUGCCGCGUGAGUGAAGAAGGCCUUAGGGUUGUAAAGCUCUUUCAGCGGGGAAGAUAAUGACGGUACCCGCAGAAGAAGCCCCGGCUAACUUCGUGCCAGCAGCCGCCGUAAU